rnacentral:misc_RNA from 1 species
GAUGAAGAACGUAGCGAAAUGCGAUAAGUAAUGUGAAUUGCAGAAUUCAGUGAAUCAUCGAAUCUUUGAACGCACAUUGCGCCCGCCAGUAUUCUGGCGGGCAUGCCUGUCCGAGCGUCAUUUCAACCCUCAAGCCCCCGGGCUUGGUGUUGGAGAUCGGCGAGCCCCCCGGGGCGCGCCGUCUCCCAAAUAUAGUGGCGGUCCCGCUGUAGCUUCCUCUGCGUAGUAGCACACCUCGCACUGGGAAACAGCGUGGCCACGCCGUAAAACCCCCCACUUCUGAAAGGUUGACCUCGGAUCAGGUAGGACUACCCGCUGAACUUAAGCAUAUCAAUAAGCGGAGGA